rnacentral:ncRNA from 1 species
UAUCUGGUUGAUUCUGCCAGUAGUCAUAUGCUUGUCUCAAAGAUUAAGCCAUGCAUGUCUAAGUAUAAGCAAUU